GACGAACGCUGGCGGCGUGCUUAACACAUGCAAGUCGAACGGUGAAGCGCCUUCCUUUUUGGUGGGUGUGGAUGAGUGGCGAAUGGGUGAGUAACACGUGAGUAACCUGCCCCCUUCUUCUGGAUAACCGCAUGAAAGUGUGGCUAAUACGGGAUAUUCUGGGUCUGUCGCAUGAUGGGUCUGGGAAAGAUAUUGUUUCGGUGGGGGAUGGGCUCGCGGCCUAUCAGCUUGUUGGUGGGGUGAUGGCCUACCAAGGCGGUGACGGGUAGCCGGCCUGAGAGGGUGGACGGUCACACUGGGACGGGGACCCGGCCCAGACUCCUAAGGGAGGCAGCAGUGGGGAAUAUUGCACAAGGGGCGCAAGCCUGAUGCAGCGACGCCGCGUGAGGGAUGGAGGCCUUCGGGUUGUGAACCUCUUUCGCCAGUGAAGCAGGCCUGCCUAGUUUGUGGGUGGGUUGACGGUAGCUGGAGAAGAAGCGCCGGCUAACUACGUG
rnacentral:rRNA from 1 species